rnacentral:rRNA from 1 species
UGGGGAAUAUUGCACAAUGGGCGCAAGCCUGAUGCAGCAACGCCGCGUGAACGAUGAAGGUCUUCGGUUCGUAAAGUUCUGUUGUAGGGGAAGAUAAUGACGGUAGACUGUGAGGAAGCCACGGCUAACUACGAGCCAGCAGCCGCGGUAAAACGUAGGUGGCAAGCGUUGUCCGGAAUUAUUGGGCGUAAAGCGCGCGCAGGUGGUUUAGAAAGUCUGAUGUGAAAGACCACGGAUCAACCGUGGAGGGUCAUUGGAAACUAAUAAACUUGAGUGCAGGAGAGAAAAGUGGAAUUCCUAGUGUAGCGAUGAAAUGCGUAGGGAUUAGGAGGAACACCGGUGGCGAAAGCGGCUUUUUGGCCUGCAACUGACACUGAGGCGCGAAAGCGUGGGGAGCAAACAGG